rnacentral:rRNA from 1 species
GUGCCAGCCGCCGCGGUAAUACGUAGGUGGCAAGCGUUGUCCGGAUUUACUGGGCGUAAAGGGAGCGUAGGCGGACUUUUAAGUGGGAUGUGAAAUACCCGGGCUUAACCUGGGUGCUGCAUUCCAAACUGGGAGUCUAGAGUGCAGGAGGGGAAAGUGGAAUUCCUAGUGUAGCGGUGAAAUGCGUAGAGAUUAGGAAGAACACCGGUGGCGAAGGCGACUUUCUGGACUGUAACUGACGCUGAGGCUCGAAAGCGUGGGGAGCGAACAGGAUUAGAUACCCCCGUAGUCC